rnacentral:rRNA from 1 species
GGGGAAAAGGGCGCGCUGCCUCUACAUGCAAGUCGAACGAGUUCUCGUUGAUGAUCGGUGCUUGCACCGAGAUUCAACAUGGAACGAGUGGCGGACGGGUGAGUAACACGUGGGUAACCUGCCCUUAAGUGGGGGAUAACAUUUGGAAACAGAUGCUAAUACCGCAUAGAUCCAAGAACCGCAUGGUUCUUGGCUGAAAGAUGGCGUAAGCUAUCGCUUUUGGAUGGACCCGCGGCGUAUUAGCUAGUUGGUGAGGUAAUGGCUCACCAAGGCGAUGAUACGUAGCCGAACUGAGAGGUUGAUCGGCCACAUUGGGACUGAGACACGGCCCAAACUCCUACGGGAGGCAGCAGUAGGGAAUCUUCCACAAUGGACGCAAGUCUGAUGGAGCAACGCCGCGUGAGUGAAGAAGGCUUUCGGGUCGUAAAACUCUGUUGUUGGAGAAGAAUGGUCGGCAGAGUAACUGUUGUCGGCGUGACGGUAUCCAACCAGAAAGCCACGGCUAACUACGUGCCAGCAGCCGCGGUAAUACGUAGGUGGCAAGCGUUAUCCGGAUUUAUUGGGCGUAAAGCGAGCGCAGGCGGUUUUUUAAGUCUGAUGUGAAAGCCCUCGGCUUAACCGAGGAAGCGCAUCGGAAACUGGGAAACUUGAGUGCAGAAGAGGACAGUGGAACUCCAUGUGUAGCGGUGAAAUGCGUAGAUAUAUGGAAGAACACCAGUGGCGAAGGCGGCUGUCUGGUCUGUAACUGACGCUGAGGCUCGAAAGCAUGGGUAGCGAACAGGAUUAGAUACCCUGGUAGUCCAUGCCGUAAACGAUGAAUGCUAGGUGUUGGAGGGUUUCCGCCCUUCAGUGCCGCAGCUAACGCAUUAAGCAUUCCGCCUGGGGAGUACGACCGCAAGGUUGAAACUCAAAGGAAUUGACGGGGGCCCGCACAAGCGGUGGAGCAUGUGGUUUAAUUCGAAGCAACGCGAAGAACCUUACCAGGUCUUGACAUCUUUUGAUCACCUGAGAGAUCAGGUUUCCCCUUCGGGGGCAAAAUGACAGGUGGUGCAUGGUUGUCGUCAGCUCGUGUCGUGAGAUGUUGGGUUAAGUCCCGCAACGAGCGCAACCCUUAUGACUAGUUGCCAGCAUUUAGUUGGGCACUCUAGUAAGACUGCCGGUGACAAACCGGAGGAAGGUGGGGAUGACGUCAAAUCAUCAUGCCCUUUUUGACCGGGGCUAACACCGGGCUACAAGGGUGGGGCAACCAAUUUGCGAAACCGCGAG